rnacentral:lncRNA from 1 species
UGGUCGAUUCUUGACAAUGUUCCAUGAGCAUUUGAGAAGAAUGUGUAUUCUGAUUUUUUUGGAUGUAGUGUCCUAAAUAUAUCAAUUAAGUCUAACUUUUCUAUUGUUUCCUUUAGGAUCUCUGUUGCUUUAUUGGUUUUCUGUCUAGAGGAUCUGUCCAUUGAUGUGAGGGGCGUAUUAAGGUCUCCUACUAUGAUUGUAUUCUCAUCAAUAUCUCCCUUUAUGUCUGUUAAUAUUUGUUGUAUGUAUCUGGGUGCUCCUAUAUUUGGGGCAUAUAUGUUGAUGAUAGUAACAUCCUCUCCUUGGAUGGGUCCCUUGAUCAUUAAAUAGUGUCCUUCUUUGUCUUUCUUUAUGUCUUUUGUUUUAAAGUCUAUUUUGUCUGAUAUGAGCGUUGCGACUCCUGCUUUUCUGUCAUGUCUAUUGACGUGAAAUACUUUUCCCCACCCUUUCACUUUCAAUCUAUAUGUAUCUUUUGUCCUAAGGUGAGUUUCUUGUAGGCAGCAUAUUGAAGGUUUUUGCCUUUUUAUCCACUCAGCCACUCUGUGUCUUUUGAUUGGGGCAUUCAGUCCAUUGACAUUUAAGGUGAUAAGUGAUAGAUGAUGAUUAUUUAUUGCCACUUGAACCUCGUGUUCCAGUUAAUUCUAUGGUUCUCCAUUCUUCCUUUUUUUUUUUGGUUGGAUGGUCUCCUGUUAUUAUCUGCUUGAGUGUAUUUUUUUUCAUUUUUUGCAAAUGCAAAUAUUUGCUUUUGGCUUGUGGUUGCCCUGUUUUUUAAGUAUGCUAACCCCUUCCCAUAAUUGUGUGUUUUAGCCUGAUGGUCCUGUAAGUUCAAACACUUCAUUACUAUAUUAAAAUUAAGAAGAGAAACAUACAAACAAACCAACAAAAAGGGUUAUUUACUUCCUAACAUCCCUUGCCCACAUUUUAUGGUUUUGAUGACUCUUUUUUAUUUUUUUCUUUUUAAUUUUAUUUUGUUUGAAGCAUGUUCAUGAUUAAAUCUGUAUGCUGGCUUAUUUGAGUGACUGCUCUCUCAUUGCGGUUUCCUCAGUCCUAGUUCUUCCUCUUCUUCUUCUUUUUUUUUUUUUCUUUUCUUUUUUCUUCCCUUUCCUUCCUUUCUUUUUGGUUUAGAGAAGCCCUUUCAAUAUUUCCUUUAACCUGGGUUUUAUGUUGCUGUAUUCUUUAAGUUUUUGUUUGUUGGGAAAAAUUCUUAUUUCUCCUUCUAUUUUAAAUGAUAUUCUUGCUGGAUAGAGUAUUCUAGGUUGCAUAUUUUUUCCUUUUAGCACUUUAAAUAUCUCUUGCCAUUCCCUCCUGGCCUGUAGUGUUUCUGUAGAGAAAUCAGCUGAUAUUCUUAUGGGGGUUCCCUUGUAGGUAACAAUCUGUUUUUCUCUUGCUGCCUUUAGGAUCCUCUCUUUAUCACUAACUUUUGCCAUUUUUAUUAUGGUGUGUCUUGGUGUGGGUCUAUUUGGGUUCAGUUUGUUUGGGGCCCUCUGUGCUUCUUGUAUCUUGAACCCAUUAUCCUUUAGAUUGGGGAAGUUUCCAUCGAUAAUUUCUUCAAAUAUAUUUUCCAUCCCCUUAUCUUUUUCUACUCCUUCUGGAAUUCCUAUUAUGCGUAGAUUGGCCCGCUUUAUAUUAUCCCAUAGGUCUCUUAUAUUGUCUUAUAUUGCUUUCCAGUUUUUUGAUUCGGUUUUCCGUCUGUUGACCGGAUUGAGUGAUUUCCAUUAUUCUAUCUUCCAUAUCACUGAUUCGUUCUUCUGCAUUAUUCAUUCUGGUUUUUACUGCCCUUAGUUCAGUUUGCAUCUCUGCAAACUAGUUUUUCUUGGCUCCUCCUUAUAUUUUCUAGUUCCUUUCUGAGGGUAUCUGCAUUACUGUUCAUAUCUUAUCUUAAUUCCUUCAGUAUUUUCACUAUUUCUCUUUUGAACUCCAGAUCUGUCAGACUGCAGAGAUCUGUUUCAUUGUUGACUGUUUUAGGUGAGUUCUCCUAUUGGUUUGACUGGGGAUGGUUUCUCUGCUUCUUCAUCUUGCUUGUUGUUUUCUUUUUCCUGGUGGAGUUGUACUCUCCGUUAUCGGGCAGUGUUUGCCUUGUCACUGCCGUGGAAUGUUUCCUGAGGGCUGGCAUUGUUGGUCAGUCUUUUUUGAGGCAGUGUGGCCUUUCUGGAGUGUUGAUGGGGCUAACAGGGUUUCUUUGAAGCAAAGGAGGACUUCCUGAGGGCAGACAGGACUGGGAGGUCCACACCACGAUGGUAGCAGAUUUCACUUGGUCAUGCAGAGCUUGCUCUGGUGUUUUUAGGCUGUGGGGUUCUUGCAGGGGGUUGGCGGUGUUGGGCAGCUACUUCUCAGGACUGCAGCACCCCCUGGGGGCUGGAGCAGCUAUCUGGGUCACUGAGAACCUAAGAGGCUCUUCCCUAUGGCAGCCCAACUCAGAAGGACAGCCUGAGAAUGUAGGCGGAUCUUUUCACAGUCUGGCCGAGCUUGUUGCAGAUUUUCUGGUCUGCAGGGGCUCUUCCAGGGGGCUGGUGGUGCUGAGCAGUUAUUUCACGGGAGUGGGGCACCCCCUGGGGGCUUGGGCGGGUAGCAGGGCCGUUGGAAACCCAAGAGGCUCCUCCCCGGGGCAGCCUGACUCAGAAAAACCAUCCGAGAAUUAGGCAGAUCUAUUCACGGCCUGGCUAGGCUUGUUCCAGCUUUUCUGGGCUGCAGGCCUUUUCUUGGGGGCUGGUGGUGUUUGGUGCUGCUCUGCGGAAGUGUAACCCCUCCAAAGGGCAAGCAGGCCUGUGCAGGGACAGCCCCUGUGGUGGUAGGCUUCAGGCAAUUGUUGAGGCCAGCCCUCCUGGAUGGCAGGCAGCCCCAGGUUUGGCGAGAGGGUAGGAGGUGGUGGGGGUGGGGGGAGGGGAUGCACUGGGAAGCACAGCUUUCAGCUAGCUAGCGGGCCUGUAAGCUUGCUGUGGCGUGGGGGGUAUUCUAUGGGGACCCACCCCUUCUUCUCUCCCCUCCCCAGCACGGGCUCAGAUCAGGCUCUUCUCCCAGGUUCCCUCUGAUGCGGCUUUCCACGUGCCCGCCCCUAGAGUAUUCCUCCCUUUCUCUGUGACAGCUUUGUUUUCUAGUCUCCCAGGCAGUCUCUGCCCCGUCAAAUGGUUUCUAGACCUCCCCAGCAGUUUCCGCUCUGCCCCGCCCCCCCAGCCCGUUCUCCCGACUAACCUUCGGAGGCGAGGUCUCGGUGCCCAACCCCCACCCAGGCGUCCCCCGGCCCUUUCCCGGGGACUAACCUCUGGAGCCGAGGAUUCGGUGCCCAGCCCCCACCCAGGCGUCUCAAUUUUUGGUGACUGUGCCUGUAGUUCAGGUGGUCCAUUCGGUUCUUGAUCGGCCUUUCCGUACUCCAACUUACUGCUACACUCUUCUCUGCAUCUGGAGAUUCCUCCGGUUCGUUUGAUCUUUCCCCUGUGUAGGUGACUUUCCAGGGUGCAGGAUCCCUUUCUCCUCCGCAGUUCCCUUUCGGGAGUGCCCGUCCCGCUCGGAUUCACCUUCUCUCACUCUCCUCUUUUCUCCCGUUCUGCCCAGUAAUGUCACGAACUUCUUGUCGUUAUUGGAGUUUAGGUUCCCAGGCUAGGGGUCAAAUCGGAGCUGUAGCCACCGGCCUACGCCAGAGCCACAGCAACGCGGGAUCCGAGCCCCGUCUGCAACCUACACCACAGCUCACGGCAACACCAGAUCGUUAACCCACUGAGCAAGGGCAGGGACCGAACCCGCAACCUCAUGGUUCCUAGUCGGAUUCGUUAACCACUGCGCCACAACAGGAACUCCCUAAGUAGAGGUUUUUAAAAGACAGGAGAAUUAGGUACUUUAGUCUGAAAUCUCCAACUCUUAAAUGUCUGGCCGCUUUUGAUACCUGUCAAUACAACCUGUGCACAACCUGGUUACCUUUGGUGAAACUGGAGCCUGAUCUCCACAGCUCUGCUGCUUCCAUGGAUUGGGGCUACUUUCAGCUGACCUAGCAGAGCUGGGUGCUACAGCCAACCCUCCGGAGAGCCUGCAGUCACAAGACACUCAACCAGCCCAUGCUGCUGCUUUGUACCAGUUGGGACCCAUGACUAGGAGACCCAGAGCUCAGAGGAUUUUUGGCCGUCAGAACAAUGCCCCCCAGCGGGUUGCUCCGUACCUUGCCUGGAGUGGUGAGAAACUCGAAGCUUUAAUCUUUUCCUUGAUAGGGAACCUCCAUUCUUUUUCUUACUGGAUCUUAUCAGGACCAUGACAUUAAAGCUUGCUGGUGAUGGUGUCCAGAUGGUGUGAAUCCAUAACUCCAUGUACACAGACUGAUCUCAGAGAGAACCUGCUUUGCAUUCCCAUCAUCAGACCACAUAGGAAUCUGUUCUAAGAUACCAUGUCUCUAAUAUCUCACAUAUACCUAUCCUUAGAUGUGCAAGUAUACAAACUCUGUGUCACGGCAAUAGAGCCCCAUACAAACAAGGCACAAGCGCACAGAGAGCAAUUCUGACCACAUACCACCCAACCACCUGUAGAGAUGGCUCCAUUAUUUCCAAAGUUGUGAUCUAGCAGCCAUAUGGAUAGACAUUUCAGUUUCUCCUUAUUUUUGGUGCUGCCCAUGGCAUGCUGAAGUUCCAGGGCCAGGGGUUGAAUUUUAGCCACAACAGUGACAAUACCAGAUCCCUAACCUACUGAGCCACCAGAGAAGAGCCACCAUAUUAACAGACAUUUUCAAGACGUCGAUUUAGAGCCCUGAUUGUCAUAGAUUAUUCUCAUUCAUCACUUCCAUCUCGCUAGCAUAGUACAGAAAGAAAGCCAACGUCUUGGCUGUUCUGUGACAUUUGUCAAUGUUCUUUUAUGGGCCAAGUUUACUGGUUGGUGUCCCUCAUUUCUAAUAAAAGAAGAGCUGUAUUGGUCAUUGCAUUUGGCUGAAUAUGACAGGAAUUUGACCUCAGUGGGUUUUUAUUUCUCUUAUGCACUGAGGUUUUAGGUAUUCUGGUGCUGUAGGGUGGUUCCAUGAUGUCAUCGAGCCCGGGGGCUUCCCCUUUCUUUCUGCUUGCCACCCUGCAGGUGAAAUGUCUUCCUCAUGCUCACAAGAUAGCUUUUUCUCCUCUGAGCAUCACCUCCAAAUCCAAAAAGAAACAGGGUGAAGUGGAACAAGGAAGGAGAGAUAAAGGUCAAAAGAGAUGCCAACUGAGCCUGUCCCUUUUUAUCAGGAAAACAAUAAUUUUCCUAAAAUCUUAAUGGAGUCAAUUUAUAUUUCCACAUAUUUGGUCAGAACAAGACCAAACAGCCACCCUUAGUACUAGAAAAGAAGUUUGGAGACUUCAGUCUUAAGUCUUAAGUCUAUUUGGCUGUUCCAAACUUCAGGGUUCUGUCGGUAAGAAAUAUGGAGAGUACUUUAUCAGUAAGGAUAUUAGUCAGACAACCAGUUGCCUUUGUUGUAAGCUAAAACAUGUGGAAUACAGUUUUUUUCUAAAUUCAUUAAAAUUUUUUGAUACUGCAGAUGAUUCAUCAGAGUUAUUCCAAGCUUCUAAUAUAUGAAGCAAAUAAAUAAUCAGAUUCUGACAUUUCUGUUGGUGUGGUGAUGGUGUGGAAAUUAAACCUAGAUCUGAAGGGCCUUGUUUAUUUUUCUUCUUCUAGACUGUGGGCUCUGAUAAGUGGUGGAAAAGACAGUGGGGGAGCGAGGGUGUAUAUUUUUUCUUUCUUUUUCAUUGUUUUUCUUUUUUCCCCUGAGCAUCUAACACAUUAAAAGAACACACUGAAUAAUGAGUAAAUGCUUGAGUAAAUCAGUAUACCCAUGAUUUGGCACCAUCACCCAUUGGCUAUAGGAUCUUGAUCAUGUGACUUGGCUGUUUCAAGUCUGCUCCUUCCCAUCUCUGAUACGGUGACAUUACAUGUGCGAACGUGCCUCACGGGGCUGCAGAGAAGAUCAAAUAAGAUAACCUUGACAAGCAUUUCUUAGGUGAUGUAGCUAUCUGCAAGCUGCAAAGUGCCUUCCAUCCCAUUGUCCUUCUUGCCUUGUCCUUAUGUCACCCCCGAGUUGAAAUAGAGUGAGGGCACCCUUACUGCACCCACUUUUGACAGAUUAAGAAACUAAGGCUAAAAUGGCUUGUAAUUGAUCUGAACUCAAAUAAAUUAUAACUGAUAAAGCUUGGUAUUUAGGCUUGAAAAAA